GUCCAAGGUGAUUCCCUCUUCCACGGGGCCUGACCAGUGCCUCCGUCUGGAAAGUAGCAACUUGGAAGAGCACGCGGCAUGCCCGAAGACUGGGGCCCAGGGCGUGCUGGCUUCCUGUGCCUGCCUUCGGCUGCCUACAUGC
ensembl:snoRNA